rnacentral:rRNA from 1 species
AGUCGAGGGGCAGCAUGAACUUAGCUUGCUAAGUUUGAUGGCGACCGUCGCACGGGUGAGUAACACGUAUCCAACCUGCCGAUGACUCGGGGAUAGCCUUUCGAAAGAAAGAUUAAUACCCGAUGGCAUAGUUCUUCCGCAUGGUAGAACUAUUAAAGAAUUUCGGUCAUCGAUGGGGAUGCGUUCCAUUAGGUUGUUGGCGGGGUAACGGCCCACCAAGCCUUCGAUGGAUAGGGGUUCUGAGAGGAAGGUCCCCCACAUUGGAACUGAGACACGGUCCAAACUCCUACGGGAGGCAGCAGUGAGGAAUAUUGGUCAAUGGACGAGAGUCUGAACCAGCCAAGUAGCGUGAAGGAUGACUGCCCUAUGGGUUGUAAACUUCUUUUAUACGGGAAUAAAGUGAGGCACGUGUGCCUUUUUGUAUGUACCGUAUGAAUAAGGAUCGGCUAACUCCGUGCCAGCAGCCGCGGUAAUACGGAGGAUCCGAGCGUUAUCCGGAUUUAUGGGGUUUAAAGGGAGCGUA